ensembl:lncRNA
UCUGCGUGUGUCUGCUCGUGGCUCACCUCCUCUUUUUGCUCGUACAACAUUUCCUGCAUCUCAUCCACCCACACAAGGUGCUGUGUCAGACUCUUGCAGGCAUCCUCCAAUUUGCCUUCCUGUGCUGCUUCAUGUGGAUGCACCUGGAGGGCAGCACACUCGUCCUAUUGGUCAGUCGACUGAGACACAUCAGAGCCUACAGCAGUCAGGAGUCCUGGUGGAAAUACCUGCACCUGAUUGGCUACGGUGUUCCCCUGAUGGUGGUGGGCGUGUCUGCUGCAGUGAUGCCUGACGGCUAUGGGAGUGAUCAGUGAGUAACGCAAAGAGGGGGAGGGGCCAACUAACCAAGGGGUGUAAUAUAAGUUUGUGAUUUGUAAGCCCCUCUUUUGGUUGUUUGUCCUGAAGGAGAAUUGAAAUGUAAAUUGCAAUUGUGUUUGUGCGUGUGUAGUGUGUAAAUUCUUUUGAUUUGAUCACUCUUAUUUUCCUUUAGGUGUUGGCUAAGAGACAAAAAUGGCUUCCCAUGGAGUUUUGUUGGACCCGUUGUCUUUAUCCUUGUGUGCAAUGUCAUCUUCUUCACUGUCAUCUUCAUCGGCUUCAGCAGCAUCAUAUCAAAGGCAAACACUGACACCUCAAAGAUUAAACAAAUGAAGAUUCUUAUCAUGAAAACUGCUGUCCAGUUCUUCAUCCUGGGUUGCCCCUGGAUACUCGGUUUCUUCGUGGAAAGCAGCGACAUACUGAACAUUCUCUUCCUUUUCCUCAACUCCCAGCAAGGAACCUUCCUGUUUCUGGUCCACUGUGUUCUCAAUGAGGGGGUUCGGCAGCAAUACAGGAAGUGGUGGCUGAAUCUGAAGCAGGGAUGCAACCCUACUAACCCCUACAAUGCACAUGAAUUAGCUAAAACAACGUCUUCAGGAUAAAUCGAUUUUAAAUCUCUUUGAGAGAUUGAGAGAUUAACAAUGCUUCUGUGCUAUGACAAUGUUAUGAAUCUAUGAUAUGGUUGUUUCUAGCUAUUGAGAGAUUAACAAUGCUUCUGUGCUAUGACAAUGUUAUGAAUCUAUGAUAUGGUUGUUUCUAGCU